rnacentral:rRNA from 1 species
UCUCAGUUCGGAUCGGAGUCUGCAACCCGACUCCGUGAAGCUGGAUUCGCUAGUAAUCGCGCAUCAGCCAUGGCGCGGUGAAUACGUUCCCGGGCCUUGUACACACCGCCCGUCAAGCCAUGGAAGCCGGGGGUGCCUGAAGUCCGGGACCGCGAGGACCGGCCUAGGGCGAAACUGGUGACUGGGGCUAAGUCGUAACAAGGUAGC